AAAGGACUGUGCCAAAAAGAAGGGUUUCCAGGAAGCAGAAGUGGUCUUGGAGAGAAAACAGGGGUCUCAAAAAGGAAACAGUGAAGAUCCUGGCUGGAAGGAAGAUCCUGGAAGAGAAGGAGAUGGGUGGAGACCAGUGCCAGCAGACCUUGCCCCAGGACUGCUACCUGGAGCAGCUGCCCACUGCCAGCUAACACAGCUCCCUGCUGGAUUUCCCCAGGCCAGCAGCAACCUCCCUGCUGGGAAGGAACUCACCUCACGGACCUGGUGACCCGCAUCUGUAGUGAGAAGUGCAGUCUCCACCUGUUUGGCUGCAGCCUUGCACAUGGUCUCCUGCGGCACUUCUACGGCCUCCCGUCGUGACUGGAUCAGAUGAUGCAGUGUCUCUGCAUGGACCUAUGCAAAAAACAUAAUAGUUCAGCCCUUCGAAAUUUUUCUGCCUAUAGUAAAUCCGACAGUAUAGUACUGUCUAUAGUAUAACAUAGCAUAUCUAUAAGCCCGGGAAAAAAAGUUUGAAAUUGAC
rnacentral:lncRNA from 1 species